rnacentral:rRNA from 1 species
UACGGAAGGUGCAAGCGUUAAUCGGAAUCACUGGGCGUAAAGCGCUCGUAGGUGGCUUUGUAAGUCAGGUGUGAAAGCCCACGGCUCAACCGUGGAAUUGCACUUGAUACUGCAUUGCUUGAGUUCGGGAGAGGGUAGUGGCAUUCCAGGUGUAGGAGUGAAAUCCGUAGAGAUCUGGAGGAACACCAGUGGCGAAGGCGACUACCUGGACCGAUACUGACACUGAGGAGCGAAAGCGUGGGGAGCAAACAGG